CUGGCUCAGGAUGAACGCUGGCGGCGUGCUUAACACAUGCAAGUCGAACGGAGUUUUUAAACGGAGGUUUCGGAUGGAAGUUAAGAACUUAGUGGCGGACGGGUGAGUAACGCGUGGGUAACCUGCCUCAUACAGGGGGAUAACAGUUAGAAAUGACUGCUAACACCGCAUAAUAUAGUGAAACCGCAUGAUUUUGCUAUCAAAUAUUUAUAGGUAUGAGAUGGGCCCGCGUCUGAUUAGCUAGUUGGUGGGGUAAAAGCCUACCAAGGCGACGAUCAGUAGCCGGCUUGAGAGAGUGACCGGCCACAUUGGGACUGAGACACGGCCCAAACUCCUACGGGAGGCAGCAGUGGGGAAUAUUGGACAAUGGGGGAAACCCUGAUCCAGCGAACCGCCGCGUGAGUGAAGAAGUAUUUCGGUAUGUAAAGCUCUAUCAGCAGGGAAGAUAAUGACAGUACCUGACUAAGAAGCCCCGGCUAACUACGUGCCAGCCGCAGC
rnacentral:rRNA from 1 species